ACUGAGAAAUUUGGGCCUGCUAACAAGCUAUGAACAUCUAAACGAGCUGUACUCAUUCUGUUCUACCUACUGGACCAAAACUUAAAAGAAUGGUAAAAGAAACAUAGAAUAGGCUUAGGGGUAAUAAAUUAAGAUGCAGUAAGAUAAAGUAGACAUUUGAAUAGAAGAAACAGGCCGGGAGCCAAGCCUUUCUCCAAGCUUCAGUGAGCGGGUUGAGAACAAUGGAAAAGAAGAGAGGUCAGGCUGAGGAAGAUGAGAAUUAGCCCCCAGACCCAUGGGAGGAAGAGCGGAUGUACCACCAAAAUUGAGGGCCAAGAGAAGUACCACCCCAAGCCCCGUCUGAGCUCCACCUAUACUCUGCCUGUUAUUAAUAUGUAUAGAUAGAUGUUGUAAUCACAUGAAUAUGCACUUAAUCAUAUAUGAAAAUUGUAUAAAAACUGCUCAUUUUGUGUGAAACCUUCGAGCAAGUUUUUCCAGCGUGAGCUGGCUUGCUCCCAGCGCUGUCAAUAAAUACCUUUGCUGCUCAAAGAUCAAAAGUCUCUGGGCAGUUCUUCAUACCAGAUUUUUCCGAUGCAAUGUAUAAAAGACAAAGG